AUGAUAAGAACUGAAUGCAAAUAUUUAUGAUGGGAUAUUCCCGGUGAAACACGAGUGGAUGAAACCGAGCAUAUUAUUUUACGGUCGGUGCCUAGUCCAGAAGAAAAAACAGGAGAGAGGACACCACAAUCAAUUAGUUUAACCUGGACAUUUAGUUUCUGAUGAUGUCAAAAAUGUGAAUGAAAUAAGGAACUAGACUUUAAUGUGGGAUAUGUGUGGGAUAUUCACACUUUAAAAAAUUAUGAGCAAACAAUGGCACACUAAAACAGAAGUUAACCUCAUCCAAAGGCAUGAUGAAAUCUACAGUUGGUUAAAUGAUUUUAUAGUAUCCUCCAGCUACAACCAUGAUGCUGCAACAGGGCACAGUUGGCUUUGUGACUCCAGGAGUAUGGAAAGCCAAAGGCAACGUACAAUGGGAAGAGAAAAGGAAGACAUGAAGAGGAAGGAGGAAAUUCAGAAGCUGGCCCCCAAUUUUGAGUUGAGCUUCUGACAUUGCUAAUAUUGAAGAUUGAAGCUAUGCGUUCAGGUAGAAAACAUGAAAUAUAUGGCAAUACUAUGGUGAUGGUAAUGUAAUGAAGAAAUAUUUACUGUAUUUUUGUGAUGCUGCCCUGUUUUUGCCACCCAAUUUUCGGUUGAGGAUAAAUAUUCUAAACUGCAUACUAACAGAGGUCACAAGGAAGAAAUUGUUCUCAUAUUUAUGAUAAACACUGGUAAUAGAUUUGUUAAAUGUC